GUGAACUGCCCAUCAUCCCAUGGAGGGGCGGGAUAAGACACAGGCCUGACCAAUCAGAGUACCCCACCACCUGGGCGCAGCAGUUGGCUUUGGGAUUGGCACCCAUGCAAGAUGGAGGCGGAUCUUCUCUGACACCUUUCUGCCUUCCUGUGUGUUAGAGUCAGGCCACUAACUUGGCAGGACGUGAGCCUGGGGCUCCCAGUAGACUUCAGGCCGUUCCUGUGAAGACAGUGGCACAGAAAUGCAGAGAGAGCAACGUGAUGAUUUAUGCUGGGAUUAUGACCAGGCUUCUCCACCACAUGAACCGGAUGAGCAGCAAAAAUGACGGUGCUGGACAAACAAGGUGUGCUAUACCAGAAAAAGACAUUGCGGCUCCAGAAAUAAGAUGAGCACAACUACACAAAAAAAGGAUGUGCUACACCUGAUCGCGGUCCCUGCUGGAGCUGCACCCGAGUCUGGGCUCGACUGAGCAGGAAGGUCCAGUUGGGGAUCCAGAGAAAGAAGCCACAGCUCACACUGAAUCCAAACUGCACCCCCAGCCCCAUUUCUGUCCGGUACACAAGGUACGUAUGGAACGCGCCUUUCUCUCUGUUUUUCUGUGGCU
rnacentral:lncRNA from 1 species